CAGCCGUAAACAAUGUGCGUUAGGUGUGUCGGUAACCACGUGUUACUGAUGCGCCGAAGAGAAAUCGUGAAACGCACCACCUGGGAAGUACGGUCGCAAGGCUGAAACUUAAAGGAAUUGGCGGGGGAGCACCACAACAGGUGGAGCCUGCGGUUUAAUUGGAUUCAACACCGUAAAACUCACCAGGGAAGACUGUUACAUGAAAGCCGAGAUGAAGACUCUGCUAGAUUUUCAGAGAGGAGGUGCAUGGCGUCAGUGACU
rnacentral:rRNA from 1 species